GGGACAGAUUCCUGGAAUGUUCCCCCCUUUGUGACAGACCUCUACAUCCCCCAUGUUGCUGUAAGGACUGUGUUAAUGAGGUAUACUCCUCUCUACAUCCCCCAUGUUGCUGUAAGGACUGUGUUAAUGAGGUAUACUCCUCUCUACAUCCCCCAUGUUGCUGUAAGGACUGUGUUAAUGAGGUAUACUCCUC